GAGCAUCCUGCAUCACAACAAGAGCAGUUCCCUCAACCAACACCAACCCACACUCAGAAGAGGAUGCUUUCUAUUCUGUCAUUGAAUAGGUCACUGAGAGCAAAGAGACCUGACAGAAGCAGGGAGGAAAGAUUACUACUGUCAUAAAACCAUUGUCAGGACCGAAGCAUUCAUUUACUGUAUUUCUGUAGCUUUUCAAUAAACUUCUACCUUUCACUCUC